rnacentral:lncRNA from 1 species
AAUUUUUCCCCAAUGUUUACACAACCGUGAGUGGCCCUAAGCUCUCACCCCAAGCACUCACCGUCACCAAUGGCCGACAUCAACCACACACGGGCACCACCGCCCAACAUCGACCACACGCCGGUACCACCCAUACUCCCAAACCCAUUUCAUUUCACCUCGCGAUUCUCCAUGAAUUGAGAAGAAAUCCACUGAGUGGAAGAAGACUAGAAUGUUUCAAGACAAGAACUAAAGAUGAAGAGAUGCUGUAGAUGGCAAUGAUUGAUUGGCAUGAUUUUUUGUUGUUGAGACUACAGACUUUACAGAUGACGAGGACAAGGAUACCCUCUCCAAUGAAACUUGAGAAAGUUAUAAGGAGGAGCAAGAUGUCGACUAUGGAAGAAGACGAAGAAGAAGAAAUUGUUGAGCCGGGAAAGGAAGUAGAAAUGGAGAUUGUCCACUAUGAUGAUUCAGCUUGUUGAUCAAUUAAAACCUCUCUGUGUUGAUAUAUAUUCGUAUUUGGUGGCGUAUAGAGUUUUGUAGUGUGUCUGAAUUUUCUUGGCCAACUUGCUGAAACUAAUGUAUUGGUGAUUGCUUUGAUUUGCAUAUCCUAAUGUUUAUAAACAAAUGUUUAUGUAUUGGUGACGUCAUUUACUCAUCUUUUAUGAAGAUUGCCUUGAUUUUUUCACCAAUUUAAGUUGAAAAUUUUCGUUCAAUGCUAUGUU